AAAACAACAUGCAAUCAACUAUUUUCUUUGUCUACUUGCCACAGAGGUCACAACAGCUGCAGUGCCAAUGAUGACAUCUACCACAACAGGCACAGCCAACGAAACCGCUACCAUGGGUGAAAGCGGUUUUGUUCAGAUUACCAUGCACACGAUCCCUCCCGUUGUGGCAGUUACAGGUUCAAGCCAGGACUACCCAAGCCUGACAGAAAUGUCCCUCAUCUACCAAUCAGCAGCCUGGAUUCUGGCUGGCCUCCUCUUGGCUAUAGUCAUUUUCCUCAUUGUGGCAGUUCUCAUAAACUACAAGAAGAAGUGGGUCCAGAUGUCCUGCUAUAGCGCACCCAAAAAGCUUCCUCUCAAGUGGUAAGACACAGAACCCAGGCAAGGAUGAGAUGGCGUAAUAGAAAAUAAACCAUCUUUAAUACUGGAAAGACAUGAUUGAAUCUGCUUUUACUAAGGAAAUAAGUAAAUACUCUUUUAUACAUUUCAGUCAUUGUGAGCUAGUUGGCAUCAAUACAACUACUACACUGACUACCAUGAACUUCAAAGAACAAAAUGAACUUUGUCUUGCAUUUCAGUCUGGUGUGCUAGGCCAGCACCAUUUCUUUUACUUUUGGCUAUAGCAUAUUUGAUGUAGGCAAAACAACUGAAAAGCCAGUCCAAAUGCUUGGGUAUAAUGGUUAAAUUACAUCCAGUAUUUAUACCUACAUCAUGUAAUGACCUGAUUAUGUCAGGUCUGUAGCAUUACUGUCCAUGAGACUAAAGGAGGAGCACCUUGAUUACAGCAUUUCUUAUAGGAUCAACUGUUUACCAAAUAGUCAUGAAAUAUUCCUGAAAGGAGUGGUGUAUGGACAGGGAUGUUAUGCAUUUCUAUAAAGAUAAUAACAUUGCAAAAUCUCAGUGUUUAUGUUUGGUGCAAAAGCCCAAAAUUUAUGAGCAUUAAAUAACAGAUAUUAAUAAGAUUCUGGACCCAUUUUUUAAAAAUUUGCAUCCUGUCAUAAGGAGUGUUGCAAUUAGGGGGCUGACAGUGGGAAUGGAGACAGGAUAGACAAAGCAGUGAGAAACGUUUAGGCUGUUUAGAAUCACAGCUGUUGGAGGCCAUAUGCAGUUCAUAUUUCCUAACUGUAAAAAAGGUAGAUAAACCAUAGAUGAAGAGUACCUUAUUUAUUUUUUCACAUAGUUUAUUUAUUAAUACUAAACUCUAGUUUGAGUAACGGAAAUGUGUGGCAUUUGGAUGUUGAUGGAAUACUAGUAGCCAAAGCUGCUGUACCUUUGAUUUUGUAAACCAUUUCCAUUUUUAUCUGCUUUGUAUUCUUUAUUCUUAUUUAUUUUUCUUUUUGCUUAUUGUAAAUACAUAUUUCGCAGAUGUUUAUUGCAACAUUUACACAUU
ensembl:lncRNA